CGAUGAAUUAGCCGAGGGCGGCCGUACCUCGGCAGGACGGAUGUGGCGGCGCUUCGGCGCGCCGUUCGUCGU
rnacentral:tRNA from 1 species